GAAAAUUUUACCCUGCAGCUACCAAAUAUUUUCUUGAAGCUAUUGAGAAAUGGGAUAGGGAUGACCAAGAUCUGGCACAGGUGUAUAAUGCGCUCGGCGUCAGCUAUGCUCGCGAUAACAAUCCCGACAAGGCAAUUGCGCAAUUCGAGAAAGCAGUGAAGCUACAGCCUGGCUAUGUCACUGCUUGGAACAAUCUUGGAGAUGCAUAUGAGAAGAA
rnacentral:misc_RNA from 1 species